GAUGAACGCUGGCGGCGUGCCUAAUACAUGCAAGUCGAACGAGUUCUUGUUGAUGAUCGGUGCUUGCACCAAGAUUCAACAUGGAACGAGUGGCGGACGGGUGAGUAACACGUGGGUAACCUGCCCUUAAGUGGGGGAUAACAUUUGGAAACAGAUGCUAAUACCGCAUAGAUCCAAGAACCGCAUGGUUCUUGGCUGAAAGAUGGCGUAAGCUAUCGCUUUUGGAUGGACCCGCGGCGUAUUAGCUAGUUGGUGAGGUAAUGGCUCACCAAGGCGAUGAUACGUAGCCGAACUGAGAGGUUG
rnacentral:rRNA from 2 species